GAUGAAUGUUGGCGGCGCGUCUAAUACAUGCAAGUCGAGCGAGGCUUCGAGCCGAGCGGCGGACGGCAGAGUAACACGUGAGGAACCUGCCCCGAAGACCGGGAUAACUCUCCGAAAGGAGCGCUAAUACCGGAUGCCCCCACCGAACCGCAUGGUUUGGUGAGGAAAUGGAUUCCGCUUCGGGAGGGCCUCGCGGCCUAUCAGCUAGUUGGUGGGGUAACGGCCCACCAAGGCAUCGACGGGUAGCUGGUCUGAGAGGACGAUCAGCCACACUGGGACUGAGACACGGCCCAGACUCCUACGGGAGGCAGCAGUGGGGAAUAUUGCGCAAUGGGCGAAAGCCUGACGCAGCCACGCCGCGUGAGCGAUGAAAGCCUUCGGGUCGUAAAGCUCUGUGGGGAGAGAAGAAUAAAGCCUGUGAAGAGCAGGCCUUGACGGUAUCUCCUUAGCAAGCACCGGCUAACUCCGUGCCAGCAGCCGCGGUAAAGUGU
rnacentral:rRNA from 1 species